rnacentral:piRNA from 1 species
UGGGAACUCGAUUUUGGGAAAUGCCA